CCGGCUCAGCCUGUCCGAAAAGUGCAGGCACAACUCAGACAGUUGAAAGGUUGACUGGUAGCAUGGAUGCUAGUGGCAAACGGGUGACUAACGCGUAGGCAACCUGCCCUUCAGAUGGGGACAACAGUUGGAAAGAGGUGGUAAUACUGAAUGAUGUAUCCAUUCCUCACGGAGAGGAUACCAAAGGCCGGGCAACCUGUCACCGAAGGAUGGGCCCGGAUGGGAUUAGCUAGUUGGUGGGGUAACGGCUCACCAAGGCGACGAUCAGUAGCCGGUCUGAGAGGAUGACCGGCCACAUUGGGACUGAGACACGGCCCAAACUCCUACGGGAGGCAGCAGUGGGGAAUCUUCCGCAAUGGGCGCAAGCCUGACGGAGCCACGCCGCGUGAGUGAAGAAGGUUUUCGGAUCGUAAAGCUCUGUUGAGAGGGACGAGAGGCAAGAAUAGGAAAUGAGCUUUGUAGGACGGUACCUUUAGAGGAAGCCACGGCUAACUACGUGCCAGCAGCCGCGGUAAUACGUAGGUGGCGAGCGUUGUCCGGAAUUAUUGGGCGUAAAGGGAGCGCAGGCGGGAAAGUAAGUCAGUUUUAAAAUUGCGGGGCUCAACCCCGUGAGGGGAUUGAAACUACUUUUCUUGAGUGCAGGAGAGGAAAGCGGAAUUCCCAGUGUAGCGGUGAAAUGCGUAGAUAUUAGGAGGAACUCCAGUGGCGAAGGCGGCUUUCUGGACUGAAACUGACACUGAGGCUCGAAAGCCAGGGGAGCGAACGGGAUUAGAUACCCCGGUAGUCCCGCCCGUAAACGAUGGAUACUAGGUGUAGGAGGUAUCGACCCCUUCUGUGCCGGAGUUAACGCAAUAAGUAUCCCGCCUGGGGAGUACGGUCGCAAGACUGAAACUCAAAGGAAUUGACGGGGGCCCGCACAAGCGGUGGAGUAUGUGGUUUAAUUCGACGCAACGCGAAGAACCUUACCUGGGCUUGACAUUGAUUGAAACUUCUAGAGAUAGAAGCCUCUCUUCGGAAACAAUAAAACAGGUGGUGCAUGGCUGUCGUCAGCUCGUGUCGUGAGAUGUUGGGUUAAGUCCCGCAACGAGCGCAACCCCUGUCCUGUGUUGCCAGCGCGUCGGGGUGGGAACUCACGGGAAACGGCCGCGGAGAACUGGGAGGAAGGGGGGAAUGACUUCAAGUCUUCUUGCCCCUUAUGACCUGGGUU
rnacentral:rRNA from 1 species